GACGAACGCUGGCGGCGUGCCUAAUACAUGCAAGUAGAACGCUGAAGGAGGAGCUUGCUCUUCUGGAUGAGUUGCGCACGGGUGAGUAACGCGUAGGUAACCUGCCUGGUAGCGGGGGAUAACUAUUGGAAACGAUAGCUAAUACCGCAUAAUAGUAGAUGUUGCAUGAUAUUUACUUAAAAGGUGCAAUUUUACCACUACCAGAUGGACCUGCGUUGUAUUAGGUAGUUGGUGGGGUAACGGCUCACCAAGGCGACGAUACAUAGCCGACCUGAGAGGGUGAUCCGCCAAACUGGGAAUGAGAAAAGGCCCAGAAUCCCAAGGGAAGCAGCAGUAGGGAAAUUUCGGGAAUGGAGGAAAGGCUGAACGAGGAAAGGCGGGGGAGUGAAGAAGGUUUUCGGAUCGGAAAGAUCUGUUGUAAGGGAAGAAAGAGUGGGAGAGUGGAAAGUGCACAUUGUGACGGUAUCUUACCAGAAAGGGACGGCUAACUACGUG
rnacentral:rRNA from 1 species